UGUCUAGGGGUUCAAACCUAAAGAACUCAAAUAUCUAAACGGAGAAAUUCAAUACCAUUCUGCCAAACAGAAUGGUGUGCACUUUUCUCUUAGUAAGACGUUGUGAUCCAUUAGGAAUCGAUUGUCUAUCUAAAAUUGGACAAUCAAUAGGUUACCAAUAGGCCGAUACCGAAGUUCAUGAUGGCAAACAACUCAAUCUUUUGGUUGUGGUAUAUUGCCUUGUGAGCGGUAACGUGAUCUGAUGUAACUGCCUGAUGGAUUUUAAAGGUCAUAUCAUUGAUGCUUGCAUCACCCAACUCGUUUUGGGCAUAAGUUAUGUACCCGAUCAACAACGGUUUCAUUUGAGAUACCUUUGGGACCCGUCUUGAAACACGGACCAAGGAGUCUAUCUAGUAUGCGAGUAAAUGGGAUUUUUAACACAAAAACCUAUUUGCGUAAAUAACUUGACUGUAAUUUAAUGGGAUUACGUGUUCAUUUAAACUUGAAUGAGUGUGAGCACCUCCAUCCCGGGGUAUUUUCAUAAUAUAUAUGGUGCAAACUGUAUAUAGAAAAUAUACCAUGAGCAUACUGGACAUGACCCGAAAGAUGGUGAACUAUGCCUGAUCAGGUUGAAGUCAGGGGAAACCCUGAUGGAGGACCGAAGCAAUUCUGACGUGCAAAUCGAUUGUCAGAAUUGGGCAUAGGGGCGAAAGACCAAUCGAACCAUC
rnacentral:rRNA from 3 species